rnacentral:rRNA from 1 species
GGAAUAUUGCGCAAUGGGCGCAAGCCUGACGCAGCGACGCCGCGUGUGGGAUGACGGCCUUCGGGUUGUAAACCACUGUCGGGAGGGACGAAUGCCCCGCAAGGGGAGUGACGGUACCUCCAAAGGAAGCACCGGCUAACCACGGGCCACCCGCCGCGGUAAUACGGAGGGUGCGAGCGUUGUCCGGAAUCACUGGGCGUAAAGGGGGCGUAGGCGGCCUGAUAAGUCGGGGGUGAAAUCCUGCGGCUCAACCGCAGGGCUGCCUUCUAAACUGUCAGGCUCGAGCACAGUAGAGGCAGGUGGAAUUCCCGGUGUAGCGGCGGAAUGCGUAGAGAUCGGGAAGAACAUCAGUGGCGAAGGCGGCCUGCUGGACUGUUGCUGACGCUGAGGCGCGACAGCGUGGGGAGCAAAC